ACGUUGCAGUAUUGAAUCUCUGAACUCAUUCGGUGGAAGUACUGUGUCAGUGGCGCUUGAAUGCUCCAGACCUCAAGAUGUAUUCAGUAUAGAAAUUGUACGGCGUAUAAAUUGCACCACGAAGUCAUGCAGUGGCCACAUCAUCCAGACUGACUUCAGCUCGACUGAUGUGCUGCGUUUUAACCGCACGUUUACCUGGAAUCUAGCAGCCGCAGCGCCAAGCGCAAGAUUCAAGAUUCAAAGUGUUCGUUGUCAUGGGGGCCCAGAAGUUGACUCUCACUGCUGAACCAGGAGCCACCAUAAACAUCAGAAAUAAUAAUAAAGUCAAAGGUUGCCAAGUGUGUAC